GUAAAACCAAGUCUCACCAUUGCUAAUGUGGGGAUUGUAAGAGUCUCACAGGUCAAGCAACUUGCCCAAAGUCACACAGCAGCAGGCCUAGGACUCAGGCCCCGGGGAACCUAAUCACAGUCCCAGCGCUUAUACCCCCAGAAUGCUUCCUCACAUCCACCAAAGGCUACCAAGGUAACAUAGAGACCAGCGGGAGGCAUGAAGACUAGAUAGGCAUCCUUGCAGCCAGAUUUCUGUAAUUCGCAGGCAAGAGAGUACAGUUAAUAUCUGAAGACCCUAAAAGAUAUGCCCUGUGGAAUUUUACCAUGCGCUCUGCCUAUGUACUAUGCAAAUGGCAGUGAGUUUUGACAAAUUUCCCAGUCUAUGCUAAUAUCAGCUUACAUUUACCCACUGCCUGCUAUAUGUGUACCAGCACUGUUCUGAGUGAUUGACAUGUAUUAACGCAGAAUCCUUACAGCAAUCCUGUGUGGCCGGUGCUAUGGUUAUGCCUAUUUUACAGAUAAGCAAAAUGAGGCCAGAGAGGUAAAGCAACAUGCUUAGUGUCACAGAGGUAGAAGCGGUCCAGCUGGGAUUUGAACCUGAGCAAAUGUGGCUACAAGGCCCACCCAGGCUCUUACCUGCACGGGGACAUGAACUAGAAGAGCAGCACACUGUGGGGCCUGGAGAUUCGGCUCCUCCAUGUGUCAGGUGAAUACCUGACACUGGUGACUGCAGGAAGGGAUGUGCCUCAUCUAACAAUUCAUGUGAAUGAUUCCACCAAGCCUUAAAGAGGACAGCACCAAAGACAAGUGACAGUGCCCUUACACCCCCUGCUUUGCAGGAACUCCUUAUGGAAUGGAAGCACAUCCAGGCUGAAGGCCCCUGUGUUCCAGAUGCUGUGUGAGUGUUGACCUGCCAGGCGACUCCACGAUGGCUUCCGUCCUCAGGUUCACCAUCAACUAAGACAGACUGAAGAUGUAAGUAGUAAUGGAAGGACACAAAAGGUACAAGAGUCAGAGGCCAGGCCAAGAGUGCAAGCUGAGCAAUGGGCAAGGAAGGCCUCCUUGAUGGCUAGCUCCAGAACUGGGACUGCAGAAAGAGGAAUUUUCUCGAUAGAAAGGGGUGUGGGCCUUCCAGUCAGGUUCAGAUCCACAGAAGCAUGCACAUGUGGUAUGCUGGGGCACCACUGCACCACCGGGGAGGGUCAUGCUGGAAAAGAGGCUGCAGGAUCUGGGACUCACUCUAUCCUGGGGCAAUGGGGAGUUUAGGAGAGGGUGAGUCAGAUCAGCAUGAAGUUAGCCUAGAGUCAGGAAGAUGAGUUAAGAGGUCUGACAGUCUAUUGAAGUAAAAUUAUUCAUUACAGAAUAGCACCAUGUAUGUUUCUAAAAUACUUGGUGCCAUAUUUAUUCUCCUGAGGGAUUCAUCUGAGCACUUAGAAAAGAAUAACUGGGCCAUUGAGUCUUGGUUGAAAUCAUUCAUUCAUCCAACCAGUAUUCAUCAAGCAUCUCCCACAUGGCCAACGCUGGGAACCCAGUGUUGAAGUUGGAGGAGACUUCACUCACAUGCCAUGAGAAGUGCAAGGAAGAGGACCAGCUACCUGUAGAGCAUGUUACAGAGGAGUCAGGUCUGGUCUGAGGUUGGAGGUCCAGGAAGUGACUGGAGUUGAAGCUUGAAGGAGUUGGUAUUCAACAUGCAGAACUGGGAAAAAGGCAUUCCAGGCAGAGGAAGCAGCUUGUGUGAGGGCACUGGGGUGAGAGGGAGCAUGGUUCAUUUGAGAAGUUAAGAAAGCACAGAGAGGAGGAGAAUAGGGAGGGUUAGGGGAAGAGGGGGUAGGGCCUGUGCCAGGCCUGGCCCUGCCCUUUAAGGUGCCAAGUCCUUGCAAGCAUUGGAAGUUAAAACAUGAUGGCCAUUUAUUGAUGAUUUAUUGAUCUCUCUGUAUCCCCUUGGGCACUAGCGGAUUCUCGACAGAACCACAAAGUGGAGUUGGCUGCAGAUGAGUCUGUUCAUGGCCCCAGUUUCUCACCUAUUCCUGAGUCACCUUUUGCCCCUCAGACACAGAGAUGGGAUAGCGCCAGGAUGUGGGUUUGUGUUGUCUAAUUUCUUGGAGUUUGUACAGGUUUUACCUGGUACCAGCGUGACCUUCCCAUGUACCCUCUUGGUCAGCAACUUUUUACAAGGAGUUAAUCCCACUUUCUGGAACUUGCUCAUUCUCAAAGUGAGUGGUUAUUGGUCCUCAAGACAGUCCGCAGAAAUUUCAGCCCCAUGGGAAAGAAAAAAUUCCAGGUCUCUACCUGAUGCUUGGAAAGCCAGCCAUGUUAACUUAGUCAACACCAAUGCUCAUCAAAUACACACAUUUAUCUAGUGUUCCCAACCUACAUUCCCAGCCUGGGAUUCUGUGGGCCAGAGGCCCCAGUGUAGAGAUUAUAGCCUAAUGUCCCAGCAGAGAAUCACUGAUUGCAGAUAGGAAAAAUCCAGACAUUUCUGAACUCCAAGACCACAGUGAUUUAUGUGGCCUGGUGAUAAGCUAUGAUUGAUAUAUUACUCAAAGUUUCUGCUUCCCCCAACUCUGGCAAGAACUUUGGCAGAACUUCUAUGCCAUAUCCAGUACUAGGAAGUUGCCAAGUUUAUGUCCUUAAAAUAAAGUGGGUUCCAAGAUAGAUGGCAGAAAGUGGGAAAUGUGAUUUUUCUUGAUUGGGUAACUAAGAACCACACAGCAUGCGGGAGCCAUUUUGGGCCAAAGAGCUGUUCAUUUAAAGUGUUUAUUGACACCUGGAAAUAGGGUUUAAACUUCAAAUGCUAUUUUCACAUCAAGUUUAUGCUAUAUAAUUUCAUAAUGGUGAUAAAAUCCAGGCAGCUACCAAAAGGAGAGCUCCCAAGUGAUCUUACUACUGGGUUUCCGUAGUACAGACAUUCAGGAUCCUGGACCCGCUGAAGCCAGGGGAGGAAGCACCCUGGCGGGUCACUGGCUGAUGGAAGGACAGGCGCCGUGAUGGUUAAGUGUGUCCAUGUUGGCUACCUGAUUUCUUUUCAGCCAGUCUCAGCUUUGGUUGGUUUGUUUGACUGCCUCAAAUCCUCGGUGGUCACCCUUAUUUUUUAUCUGGAAUGUGUUCCCCACUCUGUAGAGGACUGAGCAGGGAGAUUGCUGUGCAUCCUUGAAGGGUUCCAUUUUGACCCUGAUCAUCCUCAGUAGACAUGGAAGCUACUCCAAGCGUGGCCUUGGAGGUUUGGGGACCCUGGACAGCAUACAAAUGGAGGGGUGAGGGGCAGCCGAGGGAAAGAAAUUACUCAGAAUAUGCAGUAAGAACCAUGUCUGGUUUCUGGUUUCUGUGUUUGGCAACACAGUAAUGGGAUUCCUUGCAUUUCUCCCAGAAAAGCAUUGGUGGGGAAAAAACUUUGUUCUGGGAGGUAUGGUGAUCAUCAAAUGCUAUGAAGGCCCACACUGGACAUACUUAAGCUGUGGAGGGCUGUGUUUCCCUUUGAGCAUUUAUUGAAGGCAGAUCCUCUUCCCAGAGAAAUACCAACACACAGGUAAGUUUGUGUUCAGGACCCGGGACUCCUUGGAGCCAUGGAUACCCACCCAUGACCCCUAUGGGAUGGGGAAGUUCACAAAAGGCACAACGAAAAAAAGUCUUUCAGGUGGGGCUGGGGAAGGCAGUGAAAUGUUAGCAUAUGCUUGCUUCCCGGUUCUCACUUCUGGCUGUUCUCUGUCCUCUCUCCACCUCCGGCAGCAGCAGCACAAAGGCAUCUCUACGCCCAUCGGCCUGCCCCAGAGACCUCCCUGGCAUGGUGUGGUGGGGCAGCUGGUGUUGUGAAUCAGGCCGUUGCCAAUCAGAGAACGGCUACUUCACAACACCAGGGCCACACCACACUACAGGCAGCAUUCCAGCUCCAGAACCCGCAAGGGCGCCCUCUGGCGAGGCAGCUACACCCGUCACAGAGGACCCUCGGCUCCAGAACCCAGGCACGCGGCUUUCCAGUUCUGGGCUGGCUGCUGCAGCUCCCCUGCAGACACUGGCCUCCUGAGGCUGCUGUUUAUCCCCCAACACAAAUGCUCCACUUUUAAAGAAAAAGACACUCCUGGUAACAUUAGCUUCCUACAGAGAAAAUGGUGCUACCAGGUUUCCCACUGUGAAAAUGAAGUUAUGGGCCAUCAGGAGGGUUAAGCGCCACUCAACUGAACAUUUCCUCCUAGGUGCCAAAACACACAAUGGUUGCGGAGUUGGGACCUUUGUUUUGAUACUUGGUGAUGGUAGCUUUGAAUAGGGCAAAGUAGAGGGAAGGGAGGACCUAGUAAUAGGACGGUGGCCUCCUGGAGAGAGGAAGGCUCUUUGUAGCCACACAUGCAGGUAAUGCAUCCACUUCCUAGAUGGUCCCAGGGUCCCUGGAAAGCAAACACCUUUCUUGGCCAGGGAGAGUUCCACAGCUCUCCAUCAGUGCAUGUCCCAGUGACCUGAGGGCUGGACGAGAACCAAGCAUGGGAUUGUUCCUAGGGCACUGAUCUGCCAGACACUCCAUCAAAGGUAAUACUUGCCAUCACCUGUGCUGACAGAUGGGCUUCCUUUCCCCAGGUCCUUACAGCCAUGGACCCAGCAGAGCUGGAAAACUAAUGGAGGUCUCUAGAGUUGGAGUAGUAUUUUGUGCCUAACUUAAAUCUUAUAUGUGACAUCACCAUUUUUCAGAGCCCAAGCAAGAGUUUUCAAGAUAGAGUGGCUGGGUUGGCUGGUGUCCUUUCCAUAACGCUAAUAAAAAGGAGGAUAUUCCUCUCUCUAGUUUUCUACAGGACAAAGAUCCAGAGCCACUCUGAUUAACUCAGGCCCAGUCUAUAGUCUGUUUGUAUAGGGUUCUUGCUGCUCUGAAAACCAGAGAGACGGAUAAAAACAAGCACCAUGCAAACCUUGCAUAGCACCCAGGUUACAUAGAGCCUGAGUUAACCAGAGCCACCUGCAUCUGUAUCACCUUAGAAUUAUGGAGGGUGAGUCUACUUCUGUAAAGUUCUAUCCCUCACUCCAUCCCUAUAUCGUUAAGGGCAUCUCUGAAAUUUGUACUAAAUUAUGUUUAGGGACAAAUAUCUUCAAAGCAAAAUAGUCCCAGUUUUCAGAAAGGGCUUCUUGCUGUCUCCUAAGAAUUCAUCCAGUUACCAACUCCCCUACGACCAACGGAGUCCAAGCUAGAGCCACUCAUGGUGUGGUCCAUGGGUGGCAGCUUCAGCAUGUUGGAAAAGCAGGAUCCCAGGGACCACCAUGCACCUGCUCCAUCAGAAUCUCCAGUGGCCAACUCGGGGAACAUAGCCAGACCUAAUCUCUAUAAAGAAUGUUUUUAAAAAUUAGACAGGGGUGUGGUGGCACACACCUGUAGUCUCAUCAUCUCCUCAGGCAGCUGAGGUGGGAGGACGUUUUGAGCCCAGGAGUUUGAGGCUGCAGUGAGCAGAGAUUGUGCCACUAUACUCCACCUUGGGUAACAGCAAGACCCUGUUUUAAAAAAAAAAAUCUCCAGUGGGGACAGCAAGCUGGGCAGGAACUAUGUUACAGGCACUCCAGGGGAUGCUUCAAAACCACUUCCACCCUUUUUGGGUCUCCCCACAACCUCUCCAGCUUCCAUUUCAGCCUUAUCUCUUCCACAUGUUAUAACCAGAAUGAUCUUUUCAAAAUGCACUCCUAAAUCACGCAAAUGCCUCCCAUUCCUGGCCUUAUAACUGCUUAAAGGGUUGUCCUCACGCUAACUUCAGUGGGACCCAUGAAUGACAUCCACUCCCUUCCCUACCCUCCUCCCUUUUUAUAAGAUCCCUCUGGCCCCUGCCCCAGGGCCUUCGUUCAGCUCCACCCUAUCUAGAAGGCUCCCAGCUGCCUCCAGACUCCCAUCAUUGAUGCCUGACCGUCCUCCAAGUUUCAGACAGAGCCAACUCCCACUACCCAGAAGGCCAGGUCAGGUAACAGCUCUCCCGUGCACUCAGCAAGCUGAAUUCCAUCCCUUCAGAGCAUUCAUCUCAUUUUGUCAUUACUCGUUCAUUAGUGGGAAUCUUUGCUGAAUCUGUGUCUUUCCCACUGGUCAUAAGCUCCUUGAGGGCAGGAAUAUUCAGCUUCAUUCACUGCUGUACCCUCCAGCCUAGUUCAGUGUCUGGCACUGAGUAGACACUGAAUAAAUCUGUUCAAUGAAUGGAUGAGCACAGCCCAAGCCCAGCGUCCUUCAAGGUCAGACACUCUUGCUAUUUGUUGAAGCCCUGGGUCUUUGUUUCCUUUCAGUGGUAUCAUCAUUAAUAGCAGCAGGCAAUUACAGAAUAGAAACUGUGCCAGGCACUGCCCUGAGCCCUCCAUUUACAUUUAGCCAUGUACUCGGUACCUCCAUUUCCUCCUCAUAAGCAGGCAGGUCAUGUAACCACCCUAUCAGGUAAGUACCAAGACCACACCAUCCAUAUUGUUGGUGAUUGGUGUCGCUGCUGUUUAAACCCAAGCACUCUGGCCUCAGAGUCCAUGUGCUGAGCCACUGCUCCCUGCUGCUGAGGAGCCAGCAUGAAGGGGACAAAGCUGAUGAUGGAAGUCCAGGGCCGCUCCCAGGGACUGAGCAAAGCCUUCUCCAUUCUCAGAGGCUUCCACUCUGGUUUCUUAAACCAGGUAGACCAGGCAGUGUUCUCUCCCUUUGUGCAUUUGUAGAUUCUAACCUUGUUUAAAGCACUUCAUAAUGGAACCUGAUUAAAAACCUAAUAAAAUAUAAAAUGGGGUCAAGUCCAGAGAGAGAAUGAGAGAACCAUUUAAGAUCCAGAGGAUGCUCUACUUAAUUUUGGUAUUGAGCUGCUGAAUUCAUUUGAAGUUUGUACAGUGACCUUCAGAGGUUGAGACUGCAAAGGCAAAUUGUGCUCCCCACCCACCUCACCCCACCCCUGCCCAGAACUCUUUCCUCAAGGCUAGCCUAGGGGAGCACAACCUUGGGCUGCUUCCCCUGCAUGCUUAGAUCCAGCCAGAGCCCCCCUGCUGGGCCACAGACCUCCAUCCCCAUAGCGGCUUCUUUUCCAAAGUGCAUUCACCUCAUUGAGAACAGCCUCUCCCCUCCUGAACAUUCCAGACAUUCCACUCAGGCUGACUUAAUGCCACCUGGCCAGAAAAAAACAGUGUCCAUUCCCCCUUUUCUAAAACCUUGAUUUUGUGAUCGUUUGAACCUUUGAGUUUAGAAUCACUGUAUUAUAACUUCCUUGGGAUCCUACCUUUGCAGCUAGCCACAUUCCAAAUUAUAAGACUCUCUCUGGAAGCCCGUUGUAGACAACCAAAAGCCCUGAUGAUGUAAGGGAGCUCGCCAGACACACACUUUCAUACUCACCACCUUGUCUUAAGCUGCUUACCAUCUGCUGGCCCCAGUCAGCUCUUCUGGGAAAAGCUGCGUUUGGAAAAGGAGUUCCCCGAAUGUAUUUAAUAUCAAAUGGAGCAAUGGUUCUCAAAGUGUGCUCCCUGGAGCAGCAGCAGCACCAGCAUCUCCUGGGAACGCUUUAGACAUGCACAUCCUCCAGCCCCACCCACCCCUGCUGAGUUAGAAGCUCUGCGGUGAGGCCAGUGCACUCAAGUUUGGGAACUACCAAUAUAGAGUAAAAGAUGGGGGAGAAAACCCCUUGAGUAUCAAAUUUAGAAGGCCACAAUAGUGAAGCGUCUGUGCCUACUGUUUGCAGAAUGUGGAAGGUUUAGGGUGUUUACUACUGUAUGUUGAAUAAUGAUUCUCUUAAAACUUUUGUGAAUUGUAAAAGUAAAUCCCUAGGAAUGCUGGGCAGUGAUAACCUGACUCUCCCAUUUUCACCUGCAUACACAUACCCAGAACAUCCUUUUCUCCUUCACAACAGGGAAGUUGGAAGGUAAAAGUUAUUUUCUACCAAUAUAAAGUCUUAGAUUUUUAUUUACUAAAUUCUUAACACAGUACAUGGCACAGUUACCUUUUAAAGGCUUUCCAUUUCUUUAAUCUGAGCCCACAGCAACCCCAUUUUAAGGAGAGGAACUAGAGCCAGAGAGAUUUAGGAGCCAGCCUGUACCUCAGGAAUGAGAGACAUUACUUGCGGGAGCAGAGAUUUGAGCUCGGCAAUACUCCCAGACCCACACUUGCCCUUGCUUUUGAUUUUCUACCUCCCUAAUGAACAAGUGGGGAUCAUGAAAGUCAGCUGUGCCCAGCUUACUUAGAGCACCUGUUUCUGUCUGAGCAAUGAAAAGCCAUUUGAUUGGCGGUCAACUUGGAGAAACCUUGACCCUAAAAGAUAAUGCCAUAAAGACCAAACACACUGGGCGAUCAUAUCAUUUCAACUUGACAAAAUUUGUCGUACUCUUUUCUCGAGGUGGACUUCUUUUUUUGCUAGUGGCAGGGGUAGAUAUCCUUGUUUUGCUGGUAAUUAUCACCAUUUACCUUAGACUUCAUAGGUGGUUUUUUAUGUAUUCCUCAUGAAAGCCAUAGCCAAAGACCUUUUCAACCCCAAGCAUCUGUCUCUUGGUAGGUACUGGCUUCAGGCAAGUGGCUUCUCUCAUUAAGAAAAUACAGUAAUUUGAGUGUCAUUGCUACAAGGGAAGUGUUCCUAUGUACUCCAUCACACCAACUGCAGUGAGACUAUCAGGAAAGCUUUGGGUACCCUCCCCAGGAAAACUGCACAUCACUCUGCUGAAAUUUCAGGAAAAGUUUACGGGUCUCAAGGACAGAGUUGAAGUCAAAAAAUUUCACCUUCAUGUUAAUUUUUUAUGGAUUUUUUAAGGGUGGGGGGAGGCAAAAAGAUUUAUUUCACCAUUCCCUUUGUCUUCUUAAAACUCAGAAGAAACCUCACAGACCAAUGAGAGAGUUUGAAAUCGCUAUUUUAAGAGGCAUAGCAUAAAAGAAUUUUGAUAGAAAAGUAGAGCAAAAUAAGCAGUAAAACCUCAUCCCUAACAUUCUCCAGCUGCCUGACAUCCUGGUUCAGUUCCAGAGACUUGGACCACUGCUCCCUAGUUCCAGGGGGUGGCACAGGAGCCAAAAACGAGACCUGAGGCUGAAGCCCAACAGAAGAUGAAACUUGGGAGCAGCCUCAGCUUCGGGAAUCCUCACUUCCUGGCACAGCAGGUUUGGGUGCCACAGAGCCCAGGGCUAGACACCUGCCAGCAGUCCAUCAGUCACAGUCUCAGAUGAGUGGCAUCAAGGUGGAGCCCACUGAGGUGAAGGAAGGAGCUGUGAGGGACACCUGCAUCCUGCUGCAGAAAUGUCUGCCCCCCGCCUUGUCCCACCGCAGCUCUAUCUCACAGUUGGAGAAGCAGAAGCAAAGCAACCUGUCCUGGACCAUGCAGCCUGGUCCUCUGUUUCCAGAGCCAGAGGUCUUUGUGCUCUGAAACAAAGACAGUGACCCCAUUAACCCACUGGCACUUACUGUGUGCCAGGCACUCAGCCUGUGUUGUCUCAUUGCAGCACAGAGCAGCCCUGGGAAUGGAAGCAGUGUCAUCAUUCCCAUUUUUCAGGUGAGGCACAGGCUCAGAAAGGUCAAGAAACUUGCUCACGGUCUCACAGCUGGUGAGUAGGUUGUCAGACUCCAAAGAUGUGUGCUGCUAACCCUGCCCAAAGGGACUUCAUCCUCCUCCCUCCUUCCCAGGCAGUUCUCCCAACCACCCACCAACAGGCAACGUAGGUGUGAUUGCCUUCAAAGUUUUCUACUUGCCUUCAAGCUUGAAGCACUGGAGACUGAGGGAAGAGAGCACUGGAAGUGGAGGAAGAAAAAAGAGCUGUUCCCUCCAAGGUUGUUCCCUUGGGCCUGACUCGACUGGAAGAAGCAGGGUGUAUAUGUGUGUGUGUGUGUAAUUGACUUUGUGACCAUGAAACUGAGUUAAUACUCUUCUGUCUUUGCCUGUUUCUUCUUGUACAUCACCUAGAGGAAUACCCAUUAAUGUUUAGAGGCAGAGAACAAUAGAAAAUAGCACUGUUCAAGGACCAAAAAUUUAAAAAGACUGCUGACAUACAGCAUAGAAUGUGAAAGUCCCUGAUAAUCUUAUCCCUAGGGAUAACCACUUGCCAUUUUUUUACAAUUUCAAUUUUUUAUGAUUAUAAAAGUCAUACACAUUUAAAAAUACUUCAAAAUAAAUACAAAAUAAAAAUAAAUGCUUCAUUGCUUAGGUUACCUUGGUACAUGCAAGGUCUGAGACCACAUCCAUCAAUGCAGUUUGCUGCGUGGAUUACCAGAUCUCUCCAACAUUGACCUCAAUUUUUUACUCUGAGAGCAAACAGAAUGGGCAAGGGCUGACCUGAAAUCCUUUUGAAACACAAGCUGGAUCCUAGGGCUUUGACCUCCACUGCUCACUGCCACAUGGGAUCCGUCUCUGUGCCCCACUCUGCCCCAGCCCCACUGGCCUUCCUGCUGCUGCUCACACAGGCCUACUCUUAAGGCCUUUGCAUACUCUGUUCCCUGCAGAGGCCUCUGCCUCUGAACAAAUGUGGGACCCAUCUCUGCCAAGGCUGGGAAGCAAACAGCCCCCACUUUGCCUUGUCAGCCUGUGUUUGCACCAUUCCUGUGGUGGCCUCUCCCAGCUGCUUUCACGUGGGAUUUGAGCUCUGGGAAGCUGGAAGUUUGUGGAGUCCACUUCCCUCAUUUUGCAUAUAUGGAUGAUAAAGCCCACAGGCAAGGGCUCUGACAAAAGGAAAGAUUCCUUCCAUUUGGCAUUGUGAUGCAGAGGCUGUCACAGACAAGCCUGGGAAUUUGGGAUACAUCUUGCUGAGCCUAGAGACAGAAAAGAGCUUCUAGGCUGCCUUCCCUGAGCCCCGGGCCAGGCCCCUCCAGGACACACUUGCAUGGCACCCUGUUCUUUAAAACACUGCACACCAACGACUAUGCAAAGGAUUAACUGACUUCUCAAUAUUCUUGUUUUCUACCGAGUGAUAAGCUUCAGAAGGACAAGGUAUGAGUCCGUUUUGCUCUUUUGCCUUCCCCAGCACAUGGCACAAUGCCCAGCACAUAGUGUUUUGAGAGACAGCUGACUGGCUGUCUCAUACAAGGCCCUGCUCUGUUGGGCACAAGGGCUGCUUAACACAUUCCUAUGCUACAAAAGACAGUGCUCCUCUCCAGGAACCACCAAAUAAAUUCAGAUACUAAUGCCAAAAAGAAGGCAGCAUCAGCUUGGGAAAAGAGUGCCUUUAAGGCACUGUUUCUCUCUAUGAAGGCAGUGUGGAAUGAUAGGGAUGAUCUAGGACCUAGAGGAGAGACCUUAAGUCUUACUUGCAGCCAAAAGCCUUCAAACCUGAGCUAGCCAGAACUGUUACAUCAGAAUUCUCACCCAUGACAAGAAGCCUGGAGGGAGUCCAGGGUUGAUGGAUUGACUUAAGGUGUCAUCAAAAGCUUAGACUUUACCCUUCUGCUGCACCACCCUUAUUGCCUUGUUGUCACAAGAGGACUACUGCUGUUCAAGUCAUCACUUCCACAUUCCAGAAGGAAGAAAGGAGAGGUAGAGGGCCAGAAGUAUCCCCUCCUUUUAUCAGGAGCCAUUAACUUUCCCAGAAACUUCCAUGUCCACCCAGCAGACCUCCACUUACAUCUCACUAGGCAGAACUCCUAUCACUUGGCCACCCCAGCAGUCAGGGAAGCUGGAAGGGUGAGCAUUCAGCUAUAGAGAGUGGAAGCACAAGCAGCAAGGGAAGAACAGGUCAGUAAUUGCUGUAGAGUUUCCUGCCCAGCAGCAUCUGCCAAAACUAGGUAAAUUAUUUUUUAACAUAAUAGUAUUUUUGUGGAUUUUCUUACAAAAGCAAUGCAUAUAUAUUGUUACUUUGAAAAAUAAAGAUUUUAAAUCUUCAACAAGCCCAUUACUCAGGAGUGAUGACUGUUAUUCUUGGUUUAUUAGCUUUCUAGAUCUUUGUAUUUUUUUUAACGUGGGUAGAACCACAAUAUGGGUUGCUCUGAAAUUAGCCUUUACACUUGGCAUUGUGAAAAAUCUUUCCAAAUCAUUAAAUGUUCUCUGCAGAAU
rnacentral:lncRNA from 1 species